CGGAUGAUUAGCAUGCUAGUUGUCGAGUUGAGACUCGUAGCGGAAAGCUCAGUAACACGUGGUCAAGCUACCCUGUAGCGACGGAUAACCUCGGGAAACUGAGGCUAAUACGUCAUAACGCUCGAUAUCUGGAGUGAUUCGAGCCGGAAACGCCUUUGGGGCUACGGGAGGCAAUGGCGUCCAAUUAGGUAAACGGGGGGGUAACGGCCCACCGGGCCCUUAACCGGUACGGGUGGGGAAAGCAAAACCCCGGAAACGGUUUCGGAAACAAAAUACGGGGCCCUACGGGGCGCAGCGGGGCGAAAACCUUUACUGGAACGGAAGUGGAAUAGGGGAAUUCCAAGUGGUGGGCAAUGGACCUCACCUUUUGUGAACGGUAGGGGGGCUAAGAAUAAGACUGGGAAAACGGGGCCCGCCCGCCGGGAAUCCGGAGCUCGAGGAUACCGAUUUUUUGGCCAAGGGUCCUUGGUGGCAGGAAUCCGUUGGAAAUCACCUGCUUACAGGUGGCGUCCAGCGGAAACUGCUUGGCUUGGGACCGGAAGAUCCAAGGGGUACGUCCGGGGUAGGAGUGAAAUCCUGUAAUCCUGGACGGACCGCCGAUGGCGAAAGCACCUUGGAAGGACGGAUCCGACAGUGAAGGACGAAAGCUAGGGUCUCGAACCGGAUUAGAUACCCGGUAGUCCUAGCUGUAACGAUGUCCGCUAGGUUGCAAGCCUACCAGUCUGUGCCUGUGCGGUAAGGAGGCUGAACCCGAACGCUUGUAGGUUCGUCUGGUACGAUCACCCUCAAUGUAUUG
rnacentral:rRNA from 1 species